GAGAAAUUAAGAUCUCAAAGGUAGAAAAGUGAGAAUCAAGUCAUGGGUUUGGGCUAGUUAGAGGCGCGACACAUGAAUAAUAGUUGAAAAAGGCCGGAAAAACUGUGAACAGUGCCAAUGAACAGUACUAAAGCUUGCCCUAAUAAAUUGAAAGCUCUGAUACCAUGUUGAUUUGAAACAAUAGAAUGGAGAGAAAAAUCUGUACAUUCUUAUGUAUCAAUGACUUUGU
rnacentral:misc_RNA from 1 species